ensembl:miRNA Gm54587 predicted gene, 54587
CCCGGGAGCGGGGGACCACCAGGUUGCCUAAGGAGGGGUGAACCGGCCCAGGUCGGAAACGGAGCAGGUC